rnacentral:rRNA from 1 species
UACGAAGGGGGCUAGCGUUGCUCGGAAUCACUGGGCGUAAAGGGUGCGUAGGCGGGUUUUAAGUCAGGGUGAAAUCCUGGAGCUCAACUCCAGAACUGCCUUGAUACUGAAGAUCUUGAGUCCGGGAGAGGUGAGUGGAACUGCGAGUGUAGAGGUGAAAUUCGUAGAUAUUCGCAAGAACACCAGUGGCGAAGGCGGCUCACUGGCCCGGUACUGACGCUGAGGCACGAAAGCGUGGGAGCAAACAGG